GACAGAGGGUGCAAACGUUGUUCGGAAUUACUGGGCGUAAAGCGUGUGUAGGCUGCUACAUAAGUCGGAUGUGAAAGCCCCGGGCUCAACCCGGGAAGUGCACUCGAUACUGCGUAGCUUGAGUCUCGGAGAGGUUGGUGGAAUUCUCGGUGUAGAGGUGAAAUUCGUAGAUAUCGAGAGGAACACCGGUGGCGAAGGCGGCCAACUGGACGAAGACUGACGCUGAGACACGAAGGCGUGGGGAGCAAACAGG
rnacentral:rRNA from 1 species